ACUCAAAUGAAUAGACGGGGGCCCGCACAAGCGGUGGAGCAUGUGGUUUAAUUCGAUGCAACGCGAAGAACCUUACCAGGUCUUGACAUCUGUAGAACCUUGGUGAAAGCUGAGGGUGCCUUCGGGAGCUACAAGACAGGUGGUGCAUGGUUGUCGUCAGCUCGUGUCGUGAGAUGUUGGGUUAAGUCCCGCAACGAGCGCAACCCUUGCUAUUAGUUGCUAACAGGUAAUGCUGAGCACUCUAAUGGGACUGCCGGUGACAAGCCGGAGGAAGGUGGGGAUGACGUCAAAUCAUCAUGCCCUUUAUGAUCUGGGCUACACACGUGCUACAAUGGAUGGUACAGAGAGCAGCAAGACCGCGAGGUGGAGCGAAUCUCAAAAAGCCAUUCUCAGUUCGGAUUGGAGUCUGCAACUCGACUCCAUGAAGUCGGAAUCGCUAGUAAUCGCGAAUCAGAACGUCGCGGUGAAUGCGUUCCCGGGCCUUGUACACACCGCCCGU
rnacentral:rRNA from 1 species